rnacentral:lncRNA from 1 species
UAGUAUCAACUCCAGCCAACAAACAACUCUCACUCUCACUUUAUUCCACCGAAAAAUAUCGAAGAGCAGCCCCAAUUCAUUCUGCCAAGAUCUCAAGGUAAGGCUUGGCUUCAAUGUUUUCAUUUCCUUCAAGUAGUUCACCUGCAUUAACACGAAAACCAUAGUUCAUUCAGUUAUUCCUCAAUUAAAACCAUUCAACUACAGCGAACAAAUCAUCAAUCAAACAAAACAACUGCAAGGUGAGCUUGCUCUUAACUUUACUAUUCUCUGCCCAAAAGUCUCCUUCAUUCGUUUAAACAAUGGCACCUUCACUUCAUUUCAGCUAUUACACAUUUCAUUCAACUCCAACAGCCACCAAUCAGUUCGAACACAUUCAAGGUAUUAUACUAUCUCGAAUUUCAAUCCAAUCAAGCAUUCAUGUCAACAUGUUCAAGCUAUGGCAUUACAACUAUGUUAUGAUUCACUCAUUGUUACUUUAUGCUCUAGAACAACAAACCAUGAGUAUUCUGCCCUUAACAACUAGAAACUAGGAUAUAAGGAAGUAGGACUUAGCUUUAGGGAAAAAGGGCGCAGCCUGUUCGGUCGAGCCAAGAAGCGAUGAUCGGGCGACGGCUCAUGGGGAUCCAAGCGCCAACUGUGAAUCACGGAGAUGUGCAGAGGCACGCCGGACUCGUGCGCAGCAGCGGCGGUUCCAAGGACAGCAGCGUCGACGGCAUCGAGCGGUGAAAGGCAGACGACUCCCGAUCACAGCGAUGGCCCCGCGCCGAUUCUAGAGUAACAGCAGCGGC